GCCUGGGUGGCUCAGUCGGUUGAGCGUCCGACUUCGGCUCAGGUCACGAUCUCGCUGUUCGUGGGUUCGAGCCCCGCAUCGGGCU
rfam:Felis catus isolate Cinnamon breed Abyssinian chromosome E1, whole genome shotgun sequence.